GAUGAACGCUGGCGGCGUGCCUAAUACAUGCAAGUCGAGCGAACGGACGAGAAGCUUGCUUCUCUGAUGUUAGCGGCGGACGGGUGAGUAACACGUGGAUAACCUACCUAUAAGACUGGGAUAACUUCGGGAAACCGGAGCUAAUACCGGAUAAUAUUUUGAACCGCAUGGUUCAAAAGUGAAAGACGGUCUUGCUGUCACUUAUAGAUGGAUCCGCGCUGCAUUAGCUAGUUGGUAAGGUAACGGCUUACCAAGGCAACGAUGCAUAGCCGACCUGAGAGGGUGAUCGGCCACACUGGAACUGAGACACGGUCCAGAAUCCUACGGGAGGCAGCAGUAGGGAAUCUUCCGAAAUGGGCGAAAGCCUGACGGAGCAACGCCGCGUGAGUGAUGAAGGUCUUCGGAUCGUAAAAAUCUGUUAUUAGGGAAGAACAUAUGUGUAAGUAACUGUGCACAUCUUGACGGUACCUAAUCAGAAAGCCACGGCUAACUACGUG
rnacentral:rRNA from 1 species